rnacentral:rRNA from 2 species
UAAUACGUAGGUGGCAAGCGUUAUCCGGAAUUAUUGGGCGUAAAGCGCGCGUAGGCGGUUUUUUAAGUCUGAUGUGAAAGCCCACGGCUCAACCGUGGAGGGUCAUUGGAAACUGGAAAACUUGAGUGCAGAAGAGGAAAGUGGAAUUCCAUGUGUAGCGGUGAAAUGCGCAGAGAUAUGGAGGAACACCAGUGGCGAAGGCGACUUUCUGGUCUGUAACUGACGCUGAUGUGCGAAAGCGUGGGGAUCAAACAGGAUUAGAUACCCUGGUAGUCCACGCCGUAAACGAUGAGUGCUAAGUGUUAGGGGGUUUCCGCCCCUUAGUGCUGCAGCUAACGCAUUAAGCACUCCGCCUGGGGAGUACGACCGCAAGGUUG